rnacentral:lncRNA from 1 species
GGGUAAAGACUGAUGAGAAAUUAUGACAGACAGGGAUGCACAUAUACAGAUGUAGCUAUCUCCUCUAGUUAAACCAGUUUCCUUCAAAAACCGCUCCCAGAUGCUUGAAAAACUACCUCUAGAUGCAUGUGCAAACUGACAACAGUAAGUCCUGGAUGUAAUCCAUGCUGUCAUGAAGGCUUUUUGUUUUCCGGACACGUGCUAUUUAUUUUAGUUUGAGACAAACGUAAGUGCGAAGGCAAAAUCUGGUUUACUAUUUGCCCACGUGCAGUGGUGGUCUACCAUUUCUUCGGGAAUCUAAAGUGAUGGAUCUUCAAUUUUCAAUUCUAAAAAUUCCUUAUGUCACAAAUACCUCAAGGAUGGCAGGGACUUCAGAGAGCUGCAGGAAAGGACAGCUUUUUGAGCAAUAUUAGAUGCAAGUGUGGUGCCACUGCUGCCAUUU